GAGAGUGGGUGAGGGAGGCAGAUGGCAGGCUGAGGGAGUUUCAGGACCUCAGACAGAGUGGUGCUGGCAAAGGCUGGGGGAACGUGGAGGCACUCUGGGCUGGUUGCUGGGACUCAACCAGGACAAGGCCCUAAACUCUACCAUGGACCUUCUCCUUUGAUUUACACCCAUGCAAACUCUUUCACUGUGAGGCAAUCACCAGGCUACAGCUGAGGAGGGCAGAAUGUGACCCACUGUGUGAUAAAAAGGAAAAAUGGCUAAAAUGAAAGCAUCUUGGAUCCAGUCCUGGAGGUUUGACUAAGGCGAAACUCCAACUGAAGUAAAUGGGAGAUUUGCUUGAGUCCAAGAUCAAGACCCUUGUUCGUAAAUGCAUCCCAGAACCACUGUGGAAAGAGAGAUAAUCAGCUGCAAGAUGUGUAAUUAUUGCUAUAUUCUAGUUAAUGUAUCUGUGUAUAUUGCUUUUCAUACCUGCACAGUGUCUAAGGCAGUAUCUGUCUGCCUUUGUGUUGCUUAUCUACUGUACAAAUUUAUCUACUGGCUACAGUAAGUCAUUUAUACAACACAAUAAAAUAGACCUACAAAUACAACAC